GGAUUGACACAUCGGUCGUGCCCUAAGGGGUAUGAACUGGUGUAGUCAGUUUCUCACCUUCUGGAGAACCGCGAUGUCCUUAAUUGGGUGCCGCGAGGAACCAGGGCCUUUACUUUGAAAAAUUAGAGUGUUUAAAGCAGGCAUUUUGCUUGAAUACAUUAGCAUGGAAUAAUAAAAUAGGACGGAUGGUUCUAUUUUGUUGGUUUCUAGGAUCACCGUAAUGAUUAAUAGGGAUAGUUGGG
rnacentral:rRNA from 1 species